rnacentral:rRNA from 1 species
CCUACGGGUGGCAGCAGUGGGGAAUAUUGCGCAAUGGGCGAAAGCCUGACGCAGCGACGCCGCGUGAGGGAUGAAGGUCUUCGGAUCGUAAACCUCUGUCAGCAGGGAAGAACGGUCACUGUGCUAAUCAGCAGUGAAUUGACGGUACCUGCAAAGGAAGCACCGGCUAACUCCGUGCCAGCAGCCGCGGUAAUACGGAGGGUGCGAGCGUUAAUCGGAAUUACUGGGCGUAAAGCGAGCGUAGUCGGUAUGUCAAGUCAAGGGUGAAAUCCCGGGGCUCAACGUGGGAACUGCCUUUGAAACUGGCAGACUGGAGUGUGUGAGAGGAUAGUGGAAUUCGAGGUGGAGGAGUGAAAUCCGUAGAUAUCUGGAGGAACAUCAGUGGCGAAGGCGACUAUCUGGCACAUAACUGACGCUGAGGAGCGAAAGCGUGGGUAGCAAACAGGAUUAGAUACCCUGGUAGUC